GGCCCCAUCGUCUAGUGGUUAGGACGCCAGCCUUUCACGCUGGCAACGAGGGUUCGAUUCCCUCUGGGGCUA
rnacentral:tRNA from 1 species